rnacentral:rRNA from 1 species
UGAGGAAUAUUGGUCAAUGGGCGGCAGCCUGAACCAGCCAUCCCGCGUGAAGGAAAAACGCGCUAUGCGUUGUAAACUUCUUUUUCAGGGGGAUAAAAUUUUGUAUGUAUACAGAACUGAAGGUACCCUGAGAAUAAGCAUCGGCUAACUCCGUGCCAGCAGCCGCGGUAAUACGGAGGAUGCGAGCGUUAUCCGGAUUUAUUGGGUUUAAAGGGUGCGUAGGCGGAAGAAUAAGUCAGUGGUGAAACCCUGCAGCUUAACUGUAGACUUGCCAUUGAUACUGUUUUUCUUGAGUAUGGUCAAGGCAGGCGGAAUGUGUAAUGUAGCGGUGAAAUGCUUAGAUAUUACACAGAACACCGAUAGCGAAGGCAGCUUGCUGGGCCGUUACUGACGCUGAUGCACGAAAGCGUGGGGAUCGAACAG